GUUAAAAAGCUCGUAGUUGGAUGUCGGUUAAGAGCGACCGGUCCGCCGUUUGGUGUGCACUGGUUGGUUUUAACUUCCUGUAGAGGACGUGCUCUGGGCUUAACGGUCUGACUCGGAGUCUACGUGGUUACUUUGAAAAAAUUAGAGUGUUCAAAGCGGGCUUACGCUUGAAUAUUUCAGCAUGGAAUAACACUAUAGGACUCCUGUCCUAUUUCGUUGGUCUCGGGACGGGAGUAAUGAUUAAGAGGAACAGUUGGGGGCAUUCGUAUUUCAUUGUCAGAGGUGAAAUUCUUGGAUUUAUGAAAGACGAACUUCUGCGAAAGCAUUUGCCAAGGAUGUUUUCAUUAAUCAAGGACGAAAGUUGGGGGCUCGAAGAUGAUUAGAUACCAUCCUAGUCUCAACCAUAAACGAUGCCGACUAGGGAUUGGCGGAUGUUAAUUGAUGACUCCGCCAGCACCUUAUGAGAAAUCAAAGUUUUUGGGUUCCGGGGGGAGUAUGGUCGCAAGGCUGAAACUUAAAGGAAUUGACGGAAGGGCACCA
rnacentral:rRNA from 1 species